rnacentral:rRNA from 1 species
GCCCAGGCAGGCGUGCCCUCGGCCAAAAGGCCUCGGGCGCAACUUGCGUUCAAAGACUCGAUGGUUCGCGGGAUUCUGCAAUUCACACCAGGUAUCGCAUUUCGCUACGUUCUUCAUCGAUGCGAGAGCCGAGAUAUCCGUUGCCGAGAGUCGUGUGGAUUAUAUAGCAUUGCAACCCAAGGUGCGGCCAGCAAGCCAGCCGCGUCCCCGGGUUAGGCACAGUGUUCCUUGACGCCUUCGGCGCCGUGGGUUCUUUUACCCCGAGCC